ensembl:lncRNA
CCGCCGGCGCCGGUGAACCCCGCCGCCUGGAUUUCCUCUUCGGAUCGGCGAGGCGCGUCCUCUGGACGCCCGGCUCCGUGAACCGGCGGUGGAAAUACUGGCGACUGCAGUCUCGGGAGCCGGGCUGGUGCGCCCGCCGCCGCCGCCUGUAUCUGCCUCAGGCGGCCGGGCACAGAGCGAAGGCGCGGAGAGGAAGAGGAGGCGGCGGCAGAGGAGGCGCGGGAGGAGGAGGUGGAGGAGGAGAAGAGUCCAAAGCCAGGCGGAGAACCAAAGUGUAUUAAAGGAGCUGCGGCGGGGGCGGGCGGGCAGGGCAGGGGAGGGCGGGCGGGAGGAGGGAGCGGAGGGAGGUGUGGGGAGCGGAGGAGAGGGGGGCCGCCGGAGGGCGAGCUCAGCGCCGCGGCCCCCACCCCUGCGCGCCCCCGCGCGCGCACGCACGCACGCACUCACUCGCUAGCUGCCUUGUACUGCCGGCGGACCAGGAGCCUGGCUGAGAUCAGCGGCAUCCGCCGAAUGAAGUCAACGCGGCUGCGGGGCCACAGUGCCCUAGGGCAGUGGCUGUGCGCACACAAGCUGGCAGGGAGCGGACAGCAACAAGCUCCGCCAGCCCCAGAGCCUGGCGCACCCGCCGCUCCACCUGAUCUCCGCAGGGGCGCUGGGCAGCCGGGAGGAGGAGGCUAGGCGUCGAGUCCACGGCGCUCUCGGGUGGCCGCUCCCUCCCCAGAGGCCUUGCUCACGCCGCCCAGAGCGCUGCCGGUAUUGUUCGGCUUCGCGGUUGCUGCGGGGGUUUAGCCCUCUUGGCCCUCCGAGCUUGGCAUUGGCGACGCCCGGAGUAGUAAACUUGCAGCGGUCACGAAUUCCCCUAGAUGAAGGAAACGGGCGCGUCGUCCCCUCUUUCUUUAAGUUGGGCUGGAGGAGGAGGGAGGGGGAGGAGCAGGGGAGGGGGGGACUGUGGGAGGGGAGAAGGCGAGGAGGGGGAGGGGAGCAGGGUGAGGCUAGUCUGAAAAACAAUAACAACAAUAAAAAAGUGUUCUCUGGUUCUCCCCCUUCCUCCAGCCGAUCUGUUCUGGGCGCUAGUCCGGGAAUGAGUGCUCGCAUCAGCGAGGACAGAGCGAAGUCCUCAGCACAAGCAAAUGCUAGGAGGCCAACACGAGUUCUUCCUCUCUCGCGGCUGCAGUGGGCAGCCUUCGCCACCGCCUCUGUUUAUUUCGGCCUGAGAACUGCUUUUAUUAAUAAAUCUCUGGAAACUGAGAUAAAAUUCGCGCAAGAGAAUAACAACAUACUUCGAAAUUUAUAUUGAAAUGAAAUCACCAAAAACGCUGGAAGAAGACUCUUGUUGAGAUUUGCUGCAAUGAAUAUGAGCUCCUGCCUGAUCAAACAACCUCUCAAACCUUAGGUGGGUCUGGCUCAACUGUUGGAGCCAACCUUUCUACCAAGGCUCCCUCUGUUUCCUCCGUGUUUCCCAUUCCUUGGUAAGGGGGACGGGAGAAAUGACCACAAGAAAAAGGCAUCUUGACCGAAAUCAUGAGCUUUCCUAGAAGCUGGAGAGAGGAAAUGGUCCUCUUUCCUCCCAUUCCCCUACCUCAAAGGGCAGAAGCUACACUGGCCUGCUAGACCGCAGGGGGAGGGGAGGGGGGAGAGAUGGAAAAUAUCUAACCAGAAAGGCUUCAAUCCAUUUAUUUUAAAAGCCUGCCUAAUUCAGUCUUUCACAUUUGCUUGCCUUAUUUAGCAAUUUAUACUGAAAAGUGCAUGUAUUGGUUUGCUCUAAAAAUACUACCACUCCCAUUUUUUUUUUAACCUAAGAUUGGUUGUGAGAAUAACAGCCUUGCUCACCCAAAGACCUUAUUUCCUUCUUUCAAGCCCUCACACUUGUAGGUUUUCCUCUUCUACCACUUCCUCAUCCCCCUCCCCACUCCUCCUUUCCUCUCUUUUUUGACCUAUUCUCUCCUUUCGCUUUGAUUUCUUCUUUGCUGAGCCCGCAAUUCAGGAUGGCGCGGCUGGGCGCUGGAUUCGAGGGCCGAGCGUUAGGGCAGAUGCCUUAAUUCCCGCCGGAGAGCUCGCCGGCUGGGCCCUCCUGGCUAUUCUUUCCCAGCUCCAGUUCUCCUCUCACUGCAGGAAACAGAGGAGCUGAACCAAGUUCAAAGUCAUGUCUCGGUCCCCUCUUUCAGAAGUGUUUUAUUUCUCUGCAAACCAGAAGAAGAAGAAGAAGAAAAAAAAAAAAAAAAAAAACCUUUUCCUUCUUGACAGUUUUUUUUUUUUUAAGGAAGGAGAGGAAAAAGCGAGGGCAAGAACAAGUGUGUGUGUGUGUGUGUGUGUGUGUGUGUGUGUGCCUGUGUGUGCGCGCGCGCGCGUGUGUGUGUGUGCGCGCGCGCGCUUGCGAGAACGCGCAAAGGCUUUCAGGACUAUUGCCUCAAAAGUAGACUCAGGUUCCUUAGCGGAAGGAAGGAAGAAAGGAAGAAAGGAAGGACAGAAGGAAGGAGUGAAGGCAGGCAGACACUGAGCAAAUUCAUUUUUUCAACAGGUUUCUAGAAAGGCUGCUCUGUCAAACUUCCCAAACCGGUAACUGUCAACGCUUGGAAGCCAGUUCUUUCUUUGUUAAGUUUCCCCAAAUUGUUCUUUUCAAACAGGGCAAAACCUGCACUGGGCAAAACCUCAGCUUGUGGCUGAGAAGGAUAUCCGCCACAGGGCUCCUGGCAAGGUUACAUUUCCCGGCGAGUGAAGAGAACCAAGGCUUGAUCAAAAAUUCGUGGUGUGUUUACAAAAAGAAAAAUAAGGGAUGAGGUGAAGCAAAUCCCACAAACAUCCCAGCAAUCAUGAGCAACUCCUUUUGAAUGGUGUCUACUGUGAUCUCUUAUAGCGUGAUGUGCACAUCCAUACAGAAGAAUAAAUGCAUUGCACUUCACCCA